rnacentral:rRNA from 1 species
GACGAACGCUGGCGGCGUGCCUAAUACAUGCAAGUAGAACGCUGAAGGAGGAGCUUGCUUCUCUGGAUGAGUUGCGAACGGGUGAGUAACGCGUAGGUAACCUGCCUGGUAGCGGGGGAUAACUAUUGGAAACGAUAGCUAAUACCGCAUAAUAGUAGAUGUUGCAUGACAUUUGCUUAAAAGGUGCAAUUGCAUCACUACCAGAUGGACCUGCGUUGUAUUAGCUAGUUGGUGAGGUAACGGCUCACCAAGGCGACGAUACAUAGCCGACCUGAGAGGGGGAUCGGCCACACUGGGACUGAGACACGGCCCAGACUCCUACGGGAGGCAGCAGUAGGGAAUCUUCGGCAAUGGACGGAAGUCUGACCGAGCAACGCCGCGUGAGUGAAGAAGGUUUUCGGAUCGUAAAGCUCGGUUGUAAGAGAAGAACGAGUGUGAGAGUGGAAAGUUCACACUGUGACGGUAUCUUACCAGAAAGGGACGGCUAACUACGUG